AACGAACGCUGGCGGCAGGCUUAACACAUGCAAGUCGAACGCGCACCUUCGGGUGUGAGUGGCAGACGGGUGAGUAACGCGUGGGAAUUUACCUCAAACUUUGGGAUAACACAGAGAAAUUUGUGCUAAUACCAGAUGUGCUGAUAUAAAGGGAUUUAUAUUGGGAAAGAUUUAUCGGUUUGAGAUAAGCCCGCGUUGGAUUAGCUAGUUGGUAGGGUAAUGGCCUACCAAGGCGACGAUCCAUAGCUGGUCUGAGAGGAUGAUCAGCCACGCUGGGACUGAGACACGGCCCAGACUCCUACGGGAGGCAGCAGUGGGGAAUAUUGGACNAUGGGCGCAAGCCUGAUCCAGCCAUGCCGCGUGAGNNNNNNNCCUUAGGGUUGUAAAGCUCUUCACCGGAGAAGAUAAUGACG
rnacentral:rRNA from 2 species